UCGUUAUGAUGAUCCUGAUGAUGAUCGUGAUGAUUAUGAUCCUGAUGAUGAUCGCGAUGAUGAUGAUGAUCGCGAUGAUUAUCAUGAUGAUGG
rnacentral:miRNA from 1 species